rnacentral:rRNA from 1 species
AUUGAACGCUGGCGGUAUGCCUUACACAUGCAAGUCGAACGGUAACAGGUCUUCGGAUGCUGACGAGUGGCGAACGGGUGAGUAAUACAUCGGAACGUGCCCGAGAGUGGGGGAUAACGAGGCGAAAGCUUUGCUAAUACCGCAUACGAUCUCAGGAUGAAAGCAGGGGACCGCAAGGCCUUGCGCUCACGGAGCGGCCGAUGGCAGAUUAGGUAGUUGGUGGGAUAAAAGCUUACCAAGCCGACGAUCUGUAGCUGGUCUGAGAGGACGACCAGCCACACUGGGACUGAGACACGGCCCAGACUCCUACGGGAGGCAGCAGUGGGGAAUUUUGGACAAUGUGCGCAAGCCUGAUCCAGCCAUGCCGCGUGCAGGAUGAAGGCCUUCGGGUUGUAAACUGCUUUUGUACGGAACGAAAAGACUCUGGUUAAUACCUGGGGUCCAUGACGGUACCGUAAGAAUAAGCACCGGCUAACUACGUGCCAGCAGCCGCGGUAAUAC